AAAAAAAACUCUGCAGAAAUCUCAGAAAUAGAACCCUGCCGUCAUUCUCUGAAUCGCGUCUCUCAUACCUAACAGAGAGCACAUCAUUAUUUCAAGAAAGAAACCCUAUCCGAAGUCCACGUUGGAACUCUGCACAAGUCGUGCCUAUCCCGGUAGAAAACCUUCAUCAGGCGGAACAAGCGGGUAAACAGAAGAACAAAAAGAGGAAGGAGAGGACUCAGAAAAAGCGAAAAGUUUCAAACAACGAAGGAGGAAGAAAAGGUACUAACCCGAGGUCCGAUUCCACUUCUCAAGCUCAUCGGAAACGUUGUUUUCAGGUAAAGUUUAUUUUACUUCUUUCUUCACAUUUACAUAUGUUUUUCAUUGUACAAAUACCGCAUCGACCUCAUGAUAAUAUGAUAAACCUGAUUUGAUUGCAUAUGUGAUUGCUUGAUUGUAAGGUCUCGUUUGGUUGUUGGAGUUGUAGUAAGAGUUUCGCCUAUAGUAGAUCUUUGGUCAGUUUGUUUUAGUGAGAUGAUUGCGGGGUUUUCGCUGGUUCAGAAUAUGGAAGGAUUUGGAACAACGAGUUAGAUCUCGUCUUAUUGUUGUGCUUAAAGGUUCUAAGUAAGAGAAUGAAAUGAAGAGCAGAGGAACAAGGGAUAAAGGGUGACGGUUGGGGAAAGAGAAAGAAAGGGUUUUUUAGAUGAGGGCAGACGUUUUGAUUUUCGUUUAUAAUAAAAAUUAUUGAGUUGUUUUUUUCUGUUUUAAAGUUAAGUAUGAUCAUUAACAUGGAUUCUUUUCCCACUACCCCACGUUCGCUGUCUUUUCAUUUCCCCCCUGCAUUAAUGAUCAUUUUUCUCGGUUACCCUGUAAGACCCCAAUUUUGUCCCUAAGAUCCCUCAUGGCAUCAUAACAUUGCAUUGCAUAGCCUCAAGGAUCAUUGAGCAUCUUGGCUCCCUUUCCCUUUGGGUAGGGAUCUCUUGUAAGUGGUUUGAGAUCACCAAGCAUGCUUGAAUUGUAUAUCAUUGCUUUUCUUGUUUUAUUUACUAACUAAAAGCACAAAAAUAUGUCACUAACAUCUUUUGUUAG
rnacentral:lncRNA from 1 species